ACCCAGACAGGAUAAGCAAUCGAGCCUGAAUGCAAUCGAACCGACUUCUGGCCUAUCAGAGCACGGCUUUGUCAGUCAUGUGAUCACAACAACCCGGGAGAAAGAUGACGGAGAACAGCGGGGCUCGGGAUGGAUGAUUAGAGACUUUGGGGGAAACCUCAGCUUUAUGAACGUCCUGUCUGUUGGUUUGGCCAGAGAGGGCUGAGGGUCUUUCCCUGCGAGGAGGACCAGGCCUGAGGGAGGAGGACCUGCACCAGCUGCACCUACAGAACUUAGCCCAUGCUGGGCAUAGCUGUUACCACCUGCACAGGCCUAGCCUGUCACUUUAUUUGACAACAUGUGUUUACUUAUGUAUAUUAUUUCGUUUUUAUUUUAAAAAAUUGUGAUGGUUCAUGCUUGAUAACUUUUAGUUCACAUUUCAAUAAAUUGUAUUUGUAUUUGCA